GACGAACGCUGGCGGCGCGCCUAACGCAUGCCAGUCAAACGAAAGAGAGGAAACUUGCUUCCUCAAUCUAGUGGCGAACGGGUGAAUAACGCAUGAGGAACCUGACUCUAAGAGGGGGACAACAAUUGGAAACUACUGCUAAUACCGCAUAAACCCACAGCUCGGCAUCGAGCAUAGGGAAAAGGAGCAAUCCGCUUUGAGAUGGCCUCUCGUCCGAUUAACUAGUUGGUGAGGUAACGGCCCGCCAAGGCGACUAUCGGUAGCCGGACUGAGAGGUUGAACGGCCACAUUGAGACUGACACACGGCCCACACUCCUACGGGAGGAAGCAGUGGGGAAUAUUGCACAAUGGGGGAAACCCUGAUGCACCGACUCCGCGUGGAGGAAGAAGGUCUUCGGAUUGUAAACUCCUGUUGUUGAGGAAUAUAAUGACGGUACUCGACAAGGAAGUGACGGCUAACUACGUGCCAGCAGCCGCGGUAAAACGUAGGUCACAAGCGUUGUCCGGAAUUACUGGGUGUAAAGGGAGCGCAGGCGGGAGAACAAGUUGGAAGUGAAAUCCAUGGGCUCAACCCAUGAACUGCUUUCAAAACUGUUUUUCUUGAGUAGUGACAGAGGUAGGCGGAAUUCCCGGUGUAGCGGUGGAAUGCGUAGAUAUCGGGAGG
rnacentral:rRNA from 1 species